AGCAUGUGACUUCAUCAAUACCUGCACUUACAGCUAGCUGCCCAUUUCACACACAAACUGCAUCAUCAGCAAUGAAGCAAGAGGAUGAAAAAUGCGAUCCUCAAUGAUGUCCCUAAAUGGUGAUGUUUCCUAGGAUGAAAGAAAAGCAUUGACCUUUAACUAGGACUGAAAGUAACUGAGUACUACAAAAAUGGCAAGGUGCUUCGCUUCCUUAUUCUUGGUUUUACUACUUCUAUCUAGUGCAAGAGCUAGACCACUCUCAUUCACAACCACUAGGCCUGAAUCUAAACUGCAUAUACCAGAGGAAUCAAGCAUUGUUGAUGGUAGCUGCAAGGGUAUAGGAAGUGAAGAGUGUUUGAUUAGAAGGUCCAUGCUAGCUCAUACGGACUAUAUCUACACUCAAGAUGUCAAAGGACCAUGAUUCUACAUUCCUUUCUUCACUUCAAUAUUGUAUCAAGUUUUGAAUUAAAGCUUUGUUUAGAUUUUCAGAUGGAACUUAAAAUCUAUCAGAGGAGUUCUUGAUGUUGUAUAUACUCUUGUUUUUGUGUUAUCGUAAUUCCCUCUUCCAUAAAUAAAAAUCCAAGAUUUAAGUGGGUA